AGAGUUUGAUCAGUGGCUCAGGAUGAACGCUGGCGGCGUGCCUAAUACAUGCAAGUCGAGCGAGGGUAGCAAUACCCGAGCGGCGAACGGGUGAGUAACACGUAGGUAACCUGCCUUUGAGACUGGGAUACCCGGACGAAAGUUCGGCUAAUACCGGAUAACAACGGGGACGGCAUCGUCUCCGCUUGAAAGGUGCGUUUGCACCACUCUUAGAUGGACCUGCGGCACAUUAGCUAGUUGGUGAGGUAACGGCCCACCAAGGCGAAGAUGUGUAGCCGACCUGAGAGGGUGAACGGCCACAAUGGAACUGAGACACGGUCCAUACUCC
rnacentral:rRNA from 1 species